UUAUAUUUCCAUUAGGACAGUUUCCGGUCAUUUUCGCCACGAACGCAUUUCUGUUUUUCCGCAUCCACAGACGCUCUUCAUUUACCGAUCCCAAACGCCAUAAAGUGUCAGUUGGUUUUCUAAAAUUUUGAUAAAAUAUAUUAACUUAUAAAAAAAAAAACUGUUAUGGUGUAAAUAAUUUUAUUUAAAUAUCGCUGCAUAUUUGGCUGCAUAUGAAAUGUCCAAAAUGUCCAAUGGUACACAUGAAUGUGAAGGCAAUUCGUAUAUAUGGGUACAAGGAAGCCUUCGCGGGUCUGCUUGUUUUGUGUAUGGAACAAAUUCCACCACCCGAGAUUAUAUAAGACAACAAUUUAAAUAUCAUAAUGAUUCACCUGAUGGAAUUUACGUUGAAGCCUGUCCUACCAAAGUUAUUAGUUUAUUGAGAAAUUUCAAAAAAUACGAUAUAGCACACACGGUAUUGCUGGAAACUUAUAAUUUCCUGUGGACUCUUGAACCAGAAACGUUCAGUUAAU